CCCUUAGAUGUUCUGGGCCGCACGCGUGCUACACUGAGUGGAUCAGCGGGUCAGGUUGCGCGAAAGCGUUUCCUAAUCUUUAAAUCCGCUCGUGAUGGGGAUUGACGGUUGCAAUUUUCUGUCAUGAACGAGGAAUACCUUGUAAGCGCGGGUCAUCAUCCCGCGCUGAAUACGUCCCUGCCCUUUGUACACACCGCCCGUCGCUCCUACCGAUUGAGUGGUCCGGUGAGGCUUUGGGAUCUGAGCGGAAAGAGCGUUUCGCUGUUUCUGCUCGGAAAACUCAGUCGAACAUUAUCAUUUAGAGGAAGGAGAAGUCGUAACA
rnacentral:rRNA from 1 species